rnacentral:rRNA from 1 species
UACGUAGGUGGCAAGCGUUGUCCGGAAUUAUUGGGCGUAAAGCGCGCGCAGGCGGUCUCUUAAGUCUGAUGUGAAAGCCCACGGCUCAACCGUGGAGGGUCAUUGGAAACUGGGGGACUUGAGUACUGGAGAGGAGAGUGGAAUUCCAUGUGUAGCGGUGAAAUGCGUAGAUAUAUGGGGGAACACCAGUGGCGAAGGCGGCUCUCUGGCCAGUAACUGACGCUGAGGCGCGAAAGCGUGGGGAGCAAACAGG